CAGCGACGCCGCGUGCGGGAUGAAGGCCUUAGGGUUGUAAACCGCUUUCAGCAGGGAAGAAGCGAAAGUGACGGUACCUGCAAAAGAAGCACCGGCUAACUAUGUGCCAGCAGCCGCGGUAAUACAUAGGGUGCAAGCGUUGUCCGGAAUUAUUGGGCGUAAAGAGUUCGUAGGUGGUUCGUUACGUCGGAUGUGAAAAUCUGGGGCUCAACCCCAGACCUGCAUUCGAUACGGGCGAGCUAGAGUUUGGUAGGGGAGACUGGAAUUCCUGGUGUAGCGGUGGAAUGCGCAGAUAUCAGGAGGAACACCAAUGGCGAAGGCAGGUCUCUGGGCCAAUACUGACACUGAGGAACGAAAGCGUGGGGAGCGAACAGGAUUAGAUACCCUGGUAGUCCACGCCGUAAACGGUGGGCGCUAGUUGUGGGGACCUUCCACGGUCUCUGCGACGCAGCUAACGCAUUAAGCGCCCCGCCUGGGGAGUACGAUCGCAAGAUUA
rnacentral:rRNA from 1 species